AGAGUUUGAUCCUGGCUCAGGAUGAACGCUAGCUACAGGCUUAACACAUGCAAGUCGAGGGGCAGCAUGGGAUUAGCUUGCUAAUCCUGAUGGCGACCGGCGCACGGGUGAGUAACGCGUAUCCAACCGUUCCCUUAACUCCGGAAUAGCCCGCUGAAAGGCGGAUUAAUGCCGGAUGCGGUCCAGCGAGGGCAUCUGACCCGGACCAAAGGUUUACCGGUUAAGGAUGGGGAUGCGUCUGAUUAGGUUGUUGGCGGGUAACGGCCCACCAAGCCAUCGAUCAGUAGGGGUUCUGAGAGGAAGGUCCCCCACAUUGGAACUGAGACACGGUCCAAACUCCUACGGGAGGCAGCAGUGAGGAAUAUUGGUCAAUGGGCGAGAGCCUGAACCAGCCAAGUAGCGUGGAGGAUGACGGCCCUACGGGUUGUAAACUGCUUUUAUACAGGGAUAAAGGUGGGGACGUGUCCCCGUUUGCAGGUACUGUAUGAAUAAGGACCGGCUAAUUCCGUGCC
rnacentral:rRNA from 1 species